CUGGGGGAUAGCCUUUCGAAAGGAAGAUUAAUACCCCAUAAUAUACUGGAUGGCAUCAUCUGGUAUUGAAAACUCCGGUGGAUAGAGAUGGGCACGCGCAAGAUUAGAUAGUUGGUGAGGUAACGGCUCACCAAGUCAGCGAUCUUUAGGGGGCCUGAGAGGGUGAUCCCCCACACUGGUACUGAGACACGGACCAGACUCCUACGGGAGGCAGCAGUGAGGAAUAUUGGACAAUGGGUGAGAGCCUGAUCCAGCCAUCCCGCGUGAAGGACGACGGCCCUAUGGGUUGUAAACUUCUUUUGUAUAGGGAUAAACCUAGAUACGUGUAUCUAGCUGAAGGUACUAUACGAAUAAGCACCGGCUAACUCCGUGCCAGCAGCCGCGGUAAUACGGAGGGUGCAAGCGUUAUCCGGAUUUAUUGGGUUUAAAGGGUCCGUAGGCUGAUGUGUAAGUCAGUGGUGAAAUCUCACAGCUUAACUGUGAAACUGCCAUUGAUACUGCAUGUCUUGAGUGUUGUUGAAGUAGCUGGAAUAAGUAGUGUAGCGGUGAAAUGCAUAGAUAUUACUUAAAACACCAAUUGCGAAGGCAGGUUACUAAGCAACAACUGACGCUGAUGGACGAAAGCGUGGGGAGCGAACAGGAUUACAUACCCUGGUAGUCCACGCCGUAAACGAUGCUAACUCGCUUCUUGGGUUUUCGGAUUCAGAGACUAAGCGAAAGUGAUAAGUUAGCCACCUGGGGGAGUACGAA
rnacentral:rRNA from 1 species